CUGUGGAUAUACAACCUCGACACCGAAUGUUUCAAACUGCUGGACUGUAAUGUCGACGAACCGUGCUGUGACGUCAAGAUCAACCGCUGUACGUGGCUCAUAUACGUGGCCUAUCCUGAUGAUCCGGUUCUUGACAUUUUCAACCACACUACCUGUGAAAAGGAAGGAAACUUGACCUACACUACGUCCACCCCAAAGGAAUGUCCGAGGCUGGAGUUCAAGCCACCCUGUCCCUAAGGAGAGCCAGGCACAAACCACGGACCAUCUCCGCCACCAGGACCUGGACUUUAAAAGAAGACAAGCAAGAUUCGUAGA